AGUGGCAAAUUGUCCUGCUGGAUACCGGAGACAAACCAACCGCCAGCAGAGUCUCUGAAAAAUCCAAUUAGGUAUGACAAUGGGACUGGUCUUAACAUCCAGAUCUAGGAAUCAUCAGACGUCCUUUUCUGACACACACAGGCUGUUUACAUGUUGAAGAACAAGGCUCAGCUGAAAACUGCCCAGGAAACCACCCUCCCUCCCAACCUCCCUUCAACAGACUACGCAGGUUAUGGACUGGAUGGCACUGAGCCUGGAUCAGAGAGACAAGUCCAAAUCAACAUACAAAAUUUCAGAGCUACUGUGAUCCUGUCAGAUGUGGACAGUCAUGACAGGUCAGUGGUUGCCAAAACAAUUGUCUUAUGCAUGCUUCUGGAGUACUGAAUGCAGCAAAAUAUGAUUAUUUACAUCAGACCUUAUCUCUUGUUUUGGAUUUGCAACAAAAUGCUUGCAGCUCUGGACUGGCAUCUUGAGAAAAAAAGAUAUUAGGCCAGCUUUUCCUUUUCCACAGCCACUUUGGCACAAUAAGACCAACAAAUGGACCAACCUUUGUGGACCAACGAUUGGUUGUGUAGAUAUUUCUCUAGUGUUUAGGGCCUCAUUUGCCUAUAAGUGUAAGUUCUUCCCCCACCCACAUACCUUUCAGCUCCUACGCAUGAUCUGAGUUUCAGUGCCAUGUUCUUGGACAUCACAGGAUAAGAGCUAACUAAGCAUGUUACCUGUAUGCACAUUUUGUUCAUGUGAUUUUGUCAACUGGCAAUUUGUUUGUGAGUCCUGCUGGAAUUGUUGUAAUACCCAACUCUCAAAAAGAUGAGCAAAUGAAAAAAUAUAGAACUGCACUUCACAGAUGUUACAAAUUACUUAACAAUAAAAAGUGCGUAUCAGUCACAUAUUUGUGAAAAAAGGUCAUGACCUUUCUUUGCUGAAUCUUUGCUUACCUCCUUUUACUAACAGUCAUCACACAGCUUGAGUUGGGUUUGUCUGAAUCAUCAUAGUUGGUAUCCGUUGCCCUGUGGCCUGGCCUCGCUCUUGUUUGCAUCUGAGGCUCAGAGACCUCAGACUCACCUUUGAUGAGCAGUUCACUUGAAAGCAGCCACCUUACUUAAGAAAAACCUCAGAAGGACCUGGCAAGCAGUUCAUAGGUUCACUCUACCCACAUCCCUUGGGCUGGUAUGGGUAUCACAUUCGCCAUCUUGCCUGAAAUCAUUUAGACAAGUUUCAGACUUUAUCAGCGACAGCAUCUUUGCGAAGGACUUGAGGACCCAUCAAAAAUGCCACUGUCCAACUGUCAGUUCUUUGUUAUUCCUUCAAUUAAUCACUUGUCAAUUUUUUGUUCCUCAGUUUUACUAAGCUGACAAUGUUUACAAUGACCUUAAUAUGAUCUGACUGCAGAAUAUAGACACAUUGGUAAAAACACAUCCUAUUAGACCAUAUUUUAUGCAGAAUAUGUUUAUGUAGGAUAUGUCCCACACACAUAUAACAAAUGCAUUGUUGCACAAUUGUCUGUUUAUCUUGGUGAAUGCUUCACGUUCGGUACCCGUGCAGCUUUGCUGAUGUUUAGAAGCCGAGUUGGGUGGAAGGCGAUUGGACUACGGCCAAGCAGAGGUUAGCACCCAGGUGGCUCUCGGCUCCAGAUGUCUCCCUGUUUUUACUGCCAGAGACCGAGAGUUCACCAAGAUCCCCCGGGUAAUGCAGUCAGCUGUCAGAUUUUUUUUUGUGUGCUACGGUGAGGACUGCCCUGAGAUGGAAAGGCUGCUGGAUGAUUGGUUGUGCGAUCUAAGCGUUGUGAUUGGCAAUCUGACACAAACUGACAGACCCUCACUGACCUUGUGCAACAAUACUUU
ensembl:lncRNA